CACGUAGGGUGCGAGCGUUGUCCGGAAUUAUUGGGCGUAAAGAGCUCGUAGGCGGUGUGUCGCGUCGGCCGUGAAAACCUGCAGCUUAACUGUGGGCUUGCGGUCGAUACGGGCAUCACUGGAGUUCGGCAGGGGAGACUGGAAUUCCUGGUGUAGCGGUGAAAUGCGCAGAUAUCAGGGAGGAACACCGAUGGCGAAGGCAGGUCUGCUGGGCAUUAACUGACGCUGAGGAGCGAAAGCAUGGGGAGCGAACAGG
rnacentral:rRNA from 1 species